rnacentral:tRNA from 1 species
AAUCCGUCGAUUUCAAAAAUCGUG